rnacentral:rRNA from 1 species
GAUGAACGCUAGCUACAGGCUUAACACAUGCAAGUCGAGGGGCAGCGGGAUUGAAGCUUGCUUCAAUUGCCGGCGACCGGCGCACGGGUGAGUAACGCGUAUCCAACCUUCCGUACACUCAGGGAUAGCCUUUCGAAAGAAAGAUUAAUACCUGAUGGUAUCUUAAGCACACAUGUAAUUAAGAUUAAAGAUUUAUCGGUGUACGAUGGGGAUGCGUUCCAUUAGGUAGUAGGCGGGGUAACGGCCCACCUAGCCAACGAUGGAUAGGGGUUCUGAGAGGAAGGUCCCCCACAUUGGAACUGAGACACGGUCCAAACUCCUACGGGAGGCAGCAGUGAGGAAUAUUGGUCAAUGGACGAGAGUCUGAACCAGCCAAGUAGCGUGAAGGAUGAAGGUCCUACGGAUUGUAAACUUCUUUUAUAAGGGAAUAAACCCUCCCACGUGUGGGAGCUUGUAUGUACCUUAUGAAUAAGCAUCGGCUAACUCCGUG